GACGUAGGGUGCGAGCGUUGUCCGGAAUUAUUGGGCGUAAAGAGCUCGUAGGCGGUUUGUCGCGUCGGCCGUGAAAACUUGGGGCUUAACUCCAAGCUUGCGGUCGAUACGGGCAGACUUGAGUUCGGCAGGGGAGACUGGAAUUCCUGGUGUAGCGGUGAAAUGCGCAGAUAUCAGGAGGAACACCGGUGGCGAAGGCGGUUCUCUGGGCAUUACCUGACGCUGAGGAGCGAAAGUGUGGGGAGCGAACAGG
rnacentral:rRNA from 1 species